rnacentral:rRNA from 1 species
CACACCGCCCGUCACACCAUGAAAGCUUGUUGUACCAGAAGUCGAUGUGCUAACCGUAAGGGGGCAGUCGCCUAAGGUAUGGCCAGUGAUUGGGGUG